rnacentral:tRNA from 1 species
GGAGAGAUGGCUGAGUUGGUUGAUAGCCCCGGUCUUGAAAACCGGUAUAGUUCUUAACAAGGAACUAUCG